GACGAACGCUGGCGGCGUGCCUAAUACAUGCAAGUUGAGCGCUGAAGGUUGGUACUUGUACCAACUGGAUGAGCAGCGAACGGGUGAGUAACGCGUGGGGAAUCUGCCUUUGAGCGGGGACAACAUUUGGAAACGAAUGCUAAUACCGCAUAAAAACUUUAAACACCAGUUUUAAGUUUGAAAGAUGCAAUUGCAUCACUCAAAGAUGAUCCCGCGUUGUAUUAGCUAGUUGGUGAGGUAAAGGCUCACCAAGGCGAUGAUACAUAGGCGACCGGAGAGGGUGAUCGGCCACAUUGGGACUGAGACACGGCCCAAACUCCUACGGGAGGCAGCAGUAGGGAAUCUUGGGCAAUGGACGAAAGUCUGACCGAGCAACGCCGCGUGAGUGAAGAAGGUUUUCGGAUCGUAAAACUCGGUUGGUAGAGAAGAACGUGGGUGAGAGUGGAAAGCUCAUCAAGUGACGGUAACGACCCAGAAAGGGACGGCUAACUACGUG
rnacentral:rRNA from 1 species